AAUCAACGCUGGCGGCGUGCCUAACACAUGCAAGUCGAACGCGAAAGCCCCGCAAGGGGUAAGUAGAGUGGCAAACGGGUGAGUAACACGUGGGUGACCUGCCUUCGAGUGGGGGAUAACGUCCCGAAAGGGACGCUAAUACCGCAUAACAUCCCGCCUUUUAAGAGGUGGACAUCAAAGCUGGGGAUCGCAAGACCUAGCGCUUGAAGAGGGGCCCGCGCCUGAUUAGCUAGUUGGGGGGU
rnacentral:rRNA from 1 species